GGCCCGAUGGCGCAAUGGUAGCGCGUCAGAUUCCAGUUAAUCUAGUAACCUGAAGGUUGGGUGUUCAAAUCACUCUCGGGUCA